CAAUAGCGUAUAUUAAAGUUGUUGCAGUUAAAAAGCUCGUAGUUGGAUUUGUGGCGUACGGUGUGUUCCGGGCACUUGUUGUCUGAGUAACCUGCUGUUGCCAUCCUUGGGUGGAACCUGUGUGGCAUUAGGUUGUCGUGCAGGGGAUGCCCAUCAUUUACUGUGAAAAAAUUAGAGUGUUCAAAGCAGGCUUAUGCCGUUGAAUAUAUUAGCAUGGAAUAAUGAGAUAGGACUUUUUUGCUAUUUUGUUGGCUUGCGCAAAGAGGUAAUGAUUAAUAGGGACAGUUGGGGGUAUUCGUAUUCCAUAGUCAGAGGUGAAAUUCUUGGAUUUUUGGAAGACGAACUACUGCGAAAGCAUUUACCAAGGAUGUUUUCAUUAA
rnacentral:rRNA from 1 species